CAGGAAUUGGAGGGGGUGUGAAACCUCAAAAGCCAGGAUUUGGCAAUGGGAAUGGGAUUGGAGGCAAGGCCUUCCCGAGAGUUGGAGCCCAACCAGGCUAUGGAGGGGGUGGAAAACCCCAGAAGCCAGGAUUCGGGAUCAGGAACGGGCCAGGAGCUGGGGCCUUCCCAGGAGCAGGAGCCCAGCCAGGCCUUGGAGCACUAAAACCCCAGAAGG